rnacentral:rRNA from 1 species
UACGUAGGGACCAAGCGUUGUUCGGAUUUACUGGGCGUAAAGGGUGCGCAGGCGGCCGAGUGUGUGAGGCGUGAAAGCCCGGGGCUUAACCCCGGAAUUGCACCUCAAACUACACGGCUAGAGCAUUGGAGAGGGUAGCAGAAUUCAUGGUGUAGCAGUGAAAUGCGUAGAUAUCAUGAGGAAUACCAGAGGCGAAGGCGGCUACCUGGACAAUUGCUGACGCUCAGGCACGAAAGCGUGGGGAGCAAAAGGG